AACGAACGCUGGCGGCAGGCCUAACACAUGCCAGUCGAGCGCCCCGCAAGGGGAGCGGCGGACGGGUGAGUACCGCGUGGGAAUAUGCCCUUUGCUACGGAAUAGUCUCGGGAAACUGGGGGUAAUACCGUAUACGCCCUUUGGGGGAAAGAUUUAUCGGCGAAGGAUUAGCCCGCGUUGGAUUAGGUAGUUGGUGGGGUAAUGGCCUACCAAGCCGACGAUCCAUAGCUGGUUUGAGAGGAUGAUCAGCCACACUGGGACUGAGACACGGCCCAGACUCCUACGGGAGGCAGCAGUGGGGAAUCUUAGACAAUGGGGGCAACCCUGAUCUAGCCAUGCCGCGUGAGUGAUGAAGGCCUUAGGGUUGUAAAGCUCUUUCAGCUGGGAAGAUAAUGACGGUACCAGCAGAAGAAGCCCCGGCUAACUCCGUG
rnacentral:rRNA from 1 species